UCAACGUGGACAUCCCAUGGGGUUGCUCUCAUGGGCUCUGUCCUAGUGGCAUAUGGGAGCGUAGUGUUUUUUAGUGCAAUGACGUACAGUCCCCUUCCAUGACGUUGAAGAACAUGAUUUGUCCCCAGCCCAUGGGCUGUUGUGGGCAGCAUCCUGUAUAUUCCUACAACUUCCCAGAGCCUUUUGGUAAUGACUGGGAAGAUAAACCAUGCAGGAUACAUUU